CUACUCUGGUUUCUCUUCAGAUCAUGUAAAUCUUUCGCCUUUUACUAAAGAUUUUUGUGGAGAGAAACAAUUCUGAGUGCUUUAAUAAAAAAAUUUAAAUGUGUGAUUUAAAGGUCAAGA